UCCUCCAUCCACAUAGGUCCUGUAUGAUGAUAGUCAAUAGAGGUGUCCCCAAAAAAAUCCAUUUGAUUCCUGUAAAAGUUGGUUUCAAAUUUUCUUGGCUCAUAAACAUUGAAAACAAAUUCCUUUUACGUCAAUCUACCCACUACAACUAGUAAUCACCUCAGGUCCUCGGUCGGAUAAGAAUUUUGAUAAGUUCCCUUUUGUUAUCUUUUUAUAAACAGAUUUGUCAUCAACCAAAUUAAACAGGUGAAAAGAAAGAAAGAAAGAAAGAAAGAAAGAAAGAAAGAAAACAGAUACCCUCUGUAGAAACCCUUCAUGUGUUCAUUUAAAAUUCCAGAAAAGUUAAUCGUCAAAACUCUAUCCCCCAAAGGAAGAGCCUACUCAAAGACCAACACAAGUAUCUCAUCGUCACCGUCCACCACCACAUCACAAGGAAUAUAUUUCUGCUUUAAAAUCACAAAAACACCAUUUGUGACAAUGGAUGAAGUGUACAAUAUUACUCUAGUUGUUAUGAUAUUGAUUAUAAAAGCAUAUAUAAAUAAGUAGUAAUGAGUGAGAGUAGUAGUAGAGUUGAGUACUAAUUGGUUUCGAGAAUUAGUUAAUGAAACUUGAUUGGAUGAGCAGGUCAAGUGCGUUCAAGACGAGGUAGUGGGUGACAUCAAGUAGGGAGAGGUUGAUUAAUACAUUGCCAGAGAAGUUGGAGGCUGAAAGAUUGAGUUUAGAGUAAGAACAUAAUGUUUUGGGACUGCAAAUUUUGGAAGCCUGGUUUGCCCUUUGAACUCAUGCCUCCUCUGUUCUUCUUUAUCAACAUCAGCCAUAGCCAUGUUUAAGUUUAAAACUCUCUCUCUCUCUCACACACACACAUACACACGCUGAUCACUUUAUUGCAGUGGAUAUAUGAGUGAAGUCAAGUCAACUAUACUAAAGAAGGUGAUCCAUGGAGGAGCUUGGAGAUAUUUUCUUUGCUACUAAUUUUAGUUACAUUAAUAAUGUUUCAGUGGUUUCUUCUUUAGCAGCCUUUCUUUAAUAUUAAGACAUAUAUACGUAUAAUUGUUAUAUUGGACAUUAGCAAAUCCAAUGUUAGUUGUCUUAAUUUAAUAUACUCCCUCUCUGUUUAAAAAAGAUCAAUUGUAAAAAAAAAUUUAAAUUUUUUUAUGGUAGUAUAAAUUGACAUAAUAUUCUCAAUUUUAUUGUCAUGAUUUCAAAAUUCUGUUACUAUUACUAAACUAACAAACUAUUAUUUUCAAGGAUAAACAUGCAACAAAAAUAUAUAUUCUGUUUACAAAUGAGAGUUUUUCGGUGUGAAAUGGAGGGAAUAGUAUGUAUGCAUUUAAAUUACAACAGACAUAUUUUGCAUUUAAGAUGGAAAUAUUUUUCUUCAUAAAACAUAAAUAUGACAUAUAUAGGGAUCAGUUUGUUUAUGUGGGAAUCACCUUGUAUUCUCCUGUAUUUUCUCGAUUGCCAAUUAGACCAAGAGGAUGCCAUCAUCUCCAAAGACAAUCAGAAUAAGACCAUGCCGACACUCUUCAGGCUCUGGAAAAUAGAGGACCCCGUCCCCGUAUAAAUAUAUACACUUCACAAGAACGAGCUUGAGCAGGUACAAUUCCCCGACCAUUAAAG
rnacentral:lncRNA from 1 species